GCGGCACCGGCGCGGCGGCGGGAGAUGCGCAGCGGCCGCGCUCCGCUGUACGAGGAGCAGCCCGACUGGACGCAGGGCCCCGAGGCAGAAGCCUUCUCUUCUUCUUGGGACUCAAGGCAGAAGACAUAUGGAUGGCAUGGAUGAGCCGCAAUCCGCGUGGGUGGAGCGCACAGUCCGUUGGGUCAUUAGAGUCUUAGGCAAAUGCCAGUGUUGUUACUCUGUCUUCCGAGGAUUCUGCAAAUGUCAAUGAUGAUUUUGUUUUGAAAAACAGGAUGUACAAAGUUAGCAGUGAAUCUAAUAAAAAUGAGCUUGCUUCUGCA
rnacentral:lncRNA from 1 species